ACACAGGCGCUCAGAAGAAGCGGGGGAAAAGAAGACGAAAACAAGCCAAGAAAAAAGCAACAGGCCCAUCUGAGCCAAAAGAAAAUGACACAACCAUGUCAGGAAAUGCCAUCAUCAAAUGAGGGAACACGAGAUGACAGACAGAAGAUGGAUCAAAGACAAUUAAAACUAGACUAUAAAAGGCAAAGUGAACUGAGUCAGGCAGAAGAAGAAGAAGAAGCACUUCGAACUGUGGAACAAGAACUUCAAACUGUGGUUUGCCCAUAAAAUGUUUUCAAGAGACCAGAACUUCUCGCUCCAAAACCAGGCUAAAUUAGAGGAUUUCAUCGAGGUAGCAGAAACCACUGGAUCUCAGAAGAAAAAUAGGAAAAGACAAAGAAAAAACAAACAGGUAAAUCUAAAGCUAAGGAGAGAGAGUUUACUUCUCUAACACAUGUUAACUGAGUGUUUGUCUUUGUCCUCAUGUUAACUCAACAAGACUUAAUUUAACUUAUCAAGACACUUACUUAGUUGACAGAAGUGACAACCACCCACACCACACUGAUUAGGCAACUUAAUGUGACCUCUUUUAACUUCAAGUAUCAACACACACUGUUGCUUCCUAAAAACAAAGUGCCUUUAAGAGACUAGCAUAAUACUAGCAUGGCUAGCAUAACAAGUUACAGCAGAGGAGAUGCUUUUUCUAACUUUUCUUUUUUUAAAUACAC